rnacentral:rRNA from 1 species
GACGAACGCUGGCGGCGUGCUUAACACAUGCAAGUCGAACGGAAAGGCGCUGCCUUUGUGGGGUGCUCGAGUGGCGAACGGGAGAGUAACACGAGAGUAACCUGCCCUGGACUCUGGGAUAACUUCAGGAAACUGGGGCGAAUACCGGACAGGAGCUCCUGCUGCAGGGGGGGGGUUGGAAAGGGUCGGCGGUUGGGGCUGGAGUGGCGGCUUAUCAGCUUGUUGGUGGGGUAGUGGCUUCCCACGGCUUUGACGGGUAGCCGGCCUGAGAGGGUGAACGGCCCCAUUGGGACUGCUAUGCGGCCCAGACUCCUACGGUAGGCAGCAGUGGGGGAUAUUGCACAGUGGGCAGAAGCCUGAUGCAGCAGCGCCGCUUGCGGGGUGACGGCCUUCGGGUUGUGAACCGCUUUCGCCUGUGACGAAGCGUGAGUGACGGUAAUGGGUAAAGAAGCACCGGCUAACUACGUG